UUCACCGUCACAAUACGGUGUAAGAAAAGACAGGUGUGGAGGUAUUCCGUUCUGCACACAGUUGUUUCUGUAAACUGCGAUAAAACAUCGACAUUGAAACUACAGAACGAGGGUAUGUUGAGAAGCGACAUCUACAGCAGUACUGAAAAAAAGAAGCCUUAUUUUAGGCAAAAUUCCGCUUUAUUCGUAGACUAUCGCUUUUGAAUGUUUUAACAUUCGGCUAGGGAGCACGGCUACGCCUUAAAAGCAUUUAUUUGCAGUUAUAUCGCAAUACGUGACUCGUAGGCACCGUUUUUCAUAAAGCAGGUGCGGCCCAGCUGUCCACAUGAGGACUUCAUUUGUAACCCUGUUGUUCCCUGCACUCAUCGAGUGACAGUGACUUUCCACCAUGUUUGCGCAGCCGCUAUCAUUGCGGCCGCUGAACUUCAUGCACACGAUCAUCCUGCGCACCAUCCUGAGCAACGCUACGAAGGAGGUGCCUAUGGGUGCCCAUUUUUCGGAUUUGUGUGCAACACUCACUGCCGGAGACAUGGACACGGGAGCAGCUACUGCGGUGGCCCUCGUCUAGGAAGGUGUAUCUGCACCCACUAGUGAUGCUGAAGUAGUGUACAACGCCAGAAUAUCAUACAUGCACGUACAACUUCUCUACAGACUCUCCCGCCAAGAAAAGAUUCUUUACUACGUUUUUAACAGAGUAUAAACUGUUAAACUGUUAUGUGAACGAGAAAUCAGAUACACGAUUCGACAGUUCAUGCAUACGCGACUGCCGCGAUUGGCCUACCCCUCUAGGAAUCGUCUGGCUAUUGACGUGCGAGUAUAUUUUUUGAAGCUAUUGCCGGCAUGAUAGAUUUACGUGAACCUUUAAAGCUGCAUUUGAGCAGCAAUUGCUUUAUUAUUGUACUCUUUCAUAUGCCUUUGUGUCCACCGGUAUCCACUUUUCAGUUACGAGUAAAGGUGUUGCAUGCUGUGCUACCUACAAAUGACGUGAGGUUUGCUUCUCAAUAGGGCGCAGUUCUCAGGAUUCACACAGACUGAAACCACCUGAGGAGCGGACUGUCGACUGUUACACCAUCUGCGCUCAGGCAUUCUAGCAUGAAAAUAUCAAAUUCAUGCAUAAGAACCUCGCACGGCGACCUAAGUACUUUCUGCAGCAAUGAGCAUUGACCUGAAUUAUGACGGUACCCCAGUUUUGUCCCCGUCAGAUACGAGUAAGCGUUGGCAACCAAAACAACGAUUAUUAAGAAG